ACGAGACCUUAACCUNCUAAAUAGCCAGGNUAGCUUUGCUGGUNGCCGGCUUCUUAGAGGGACUAUCGGNUNAAGCCGAUGGAAGUUUGAGGCAAUAACANGUCUGUGAUGCCNUUAGAUGUUCUGGGCNCACGCGCGCUACACUGACAGAGCCAACGAGUUCAUCACCUUGUCCGAAAGGUCUGGGUAAUCUUGUUAAACUCUGUNGUGCUGGGGAUAGAGCAUUGCAAUUAUUGCUCUUCAACGNNGAAUUCCUAGUAAGCGCAA
rnacentral:rRNA from 1 species